rnacentral:rRNA from 1 species
AACGAACGCUGGCGGCAUGCCUAACACAUGCAAGUCGAACGAGAGCUUCGGCUCUAGUGGCGCACGGGUGCGUAACGCGUGGGAAUCUGCCCUUGGGUUCGGAAUAACAGUUGGAAACGACUGCUAAUACCGGAUGAUGACGUAAGUCCAAAGAUGUUAUCGCCCUGGGAUGAGCCCGCGUCGGAUUAGCUAGUUGGUGGGGUAAAGGCCUACCAAGGCGACGAUCCGUAGCUGGUCUGAGAGGAUGAUCAGCCACACUGGGACUGAGACACGGCCCAGACUCCUACGGGAGGCAGCAGUGGGGAAUAUUGGACAAUGGGCGCAAGCUUGAUCCAGCAAUGCCGCGUGAGUGAUGAAGGCCUUAGGGUUGUAAAGCUCUUUUACCUGGGAAGAUAAUGACUGUACCGGGAGAAUAAGCCCCGGCUAACUCCGUGCCAGCCGCCGCAGUAA